CUGUGGCCUUAAUUUGAAAGAGACAGGCGGGAAGCUUUUUGAGGCAGGAAAGAUGGCAGCAAAGUGGGACCUAGAAGAUGGAGACCCGUCAGGAUGCCAGCUAUGUUUCUAGGCACCCCAGUGGCAGUGCAUUUCUGCUGCUGCUGCUGCUGAUUCAUACUCUGCUCUUCAGGAUCAAAGUCGCCACACAAAGUGCUUCAGAUGGGCUAAGAGAACAAGGACCCAGGUGCAAGGUAACAGAAAAAGCUUCCCUGCGCAGAAAUUUCAGAAUCUGAAGGCAAAGGUGCUUUAGAGGUGUAGAAGAGCUGUUCUUUUCUGAUCGUGAUGGACGGCACCUGGGCAAACACCACAAGCAGACCUGCUACUGCGUUUUACACCAGUUGCAACUGCGGAGCCAUCAUCAAGGGCAUGGAGCUACAUGGAGAAAGAACAUUGCUGCAGUCUCAACUGACCAAGGCAGACUGGAAGGUCUAGCUUCUAACAGGGAUGAUGUUCUGGCCAACUCUGGGUUUUCAUCUGACCUGCUCACUGCAGGAGCUCAUGCAGCACUGCUGUUUUCUUAAGGACAACACUAGGAAGCUCAUUCCGUCUAGACAUACAGAGCAUCAAGGAAAUCUGGCUCUUUCCUUCUCCUUCUUUCCCACGGCCAGGCCCUCCAGUCCCCAGAACACGGGAGUGAAGGUACCCUUGUAAUGAGAUGAUUGCAUGCGAUAACAAUGAUAUCUGAGUGCCAUCCUGAAAGUAAUAAUAUCAACAGUCUACAGUAUGGGGUACACAGAUGGAUUCCCCAACAUCGGACAAAGGGUUCUUCUGCAGCUAAAGCCCAUUGAACUCCAUGGGACUUACUUCUGCAUAAACAUCCAUAUGCUGCCGCAUUGCCACACCAUGAGGAGUUUUUUGGAGCCCGGAGUCCUUGGCACUAAUGUAUUCUUUUCACAUGAAAUGGACCUUACAGAUCAGACAAGUUCCUGUCUGGGAAAGGAAAUGCGAUUUCCAGCAUGGACUGCCAUCUUUUCCAGGCUACUGCUAGCAUGCUAGACCCUCUUGGGUAUGACUAGAUAAGAUGCUGGCAUGCUUGACUGCAUCCUCAUCACUCCUUUUUGCCCUUGGACCAAAACAUACAGGUACCACAGAAUCCCCAGAGCUCCUCCUUCCUAAUGCUGUGCUUCUGGUUGGGUGUGCCCUCACUGUGUCUUCAGCUGUUUUAGAAGCCCUGAAUAAUGCAUGAACCUCUGGGACUGACACACAGAACUUGUAGCACACCAGUGAGAAGAUGAAAUUCAUGUUGGCACCGGCAGUGGAUGUGGUCCGUACAGCGUCGACAAAUUGACUUCGGGCCAAGCAAGGAUGUUGGCAUUCCUCGGGACUACGUGGAAGGAUGUAUCGGGGGUGUUUAGAAGAAAAUCAGGCAUCGCCUUGUACCAGACUUGGUUGGCUUUGGUUUACUUGUGGUGAAAUUCACAGAGGUAGAAAAUCAGAGGGGAAGAACCUACCAGUGAGUAGGUAGGUCCACUUCUCUGUGGAGGUCUUUCUCCAGACCUGCCAGCUGAUAUUCGUGAAUGGGAGCUUCCAGAGAUGGAGCUGCGGUCUUCUCCAUGCCAGAUGGCCUGAUCUGCCAUUAAUCUAUGUCACUUCCUGACACAGAAGUGCUAUUUUGGGCACGUCCCCUUGGCGUUCCUCACGGGUCGAGCUGGCUUUCGUAAUACGGAACUGCAACCCUGUGAGGUAGUCUAGGCUGGAAGUCAGUGUCAGCAUCACAGCCCAAUGCCAGGGAGCUUCAUGGUGAGAUGGGACUAGAACCUGGAUCUCCUGAGUCCCUGUCUGAUGCUCCAACCGUCUCGCCACACUGGCUCUCACAAUGAAAUCAGAUCCUCAUUUAAUUUUGGACUUAUCUUUAUAUUUUGGCCACAUUCCCAUUUAAUUUCAUCAGCAGUAUUAACUUCUGUUUAUCCCCAUUAACAAAAUCACAUGGUCUACUCUAGUCAGUAUGUUUGAAGCUGAGGGUGGAGAAAAGAGGGUGAGGAUAGGCAAGAAAGAAAAAAAAUAAGCACAGAGAAGAAGAAAGAUGCAGGAUUGGGGAAACAGGCACUGCUGGAUUUUCUGUCAAGAGUAAAACCCGUCUACCUUGUCGUGCUUGCAACAUGCAUAGCAAAUAAUGCAAACUAGGAAAUCCUUUUCACCCCAGUGAAAUGUUCCUAAGAUAAGGAUGGCUCAGUCUCCAUCUCUGGCACAAGAAGGCAGCUUUCCUCUGCUUCCCCUGGUCUCCUGUGGGCUGCAGCUGUCACAGGUGGGAUGCACAGAACAUGCAGGGCUGCAUUCCACUGGGGUGCAGCGCUCUGGUUUGCAUGCAGAAAGCUUAAGGGAGACGAGAGGAAGCAGAACCGCUGUGCUUGGAGUGUAAUGGUGAAGGCAGAAAUAGGAAAUUAUGGUGGGUGGGGAGACCCCUUCCCUGAGCAGUGAAUGGGUGAAGCAUGUGUGAAACUCUGCUUGUUCAAACUUGUCAGGAGAGCGGCAGUUUGUCAAGAGCAGGACGCUUUGCAUAAACGAUGGUUUUAAGCCUUUAUCGUAAUGUCAGUGCUUUGUUGCAACUGACCCUCUUCUGGGUGAAAGCCUACUUAAACCAUUAUAGACUAAACAAUGCUCUUCUCCGCUGAAAGUGAGGGAAAUAGAGGAAGCAUUGUGAAAGUGGCUUGGACGGAUUCCCAGAUGGCAAGGAAGCAACUGCAGCGAGCAGAACAGGGAAAUGUACGGGCAUGUAGGACAACCGGAGCAUAAUGGGGCAGGUGGAAAGGGAUGCCCUUGCCCACAUCGGGGGGUCUAGCAAGUCAUGUUUGCUGCUGCAGUCGGGCUUGAUGUGCUGAAGGCUGCCAUUGCCGGCAGGGCAUGGGGAGUUGGCCCUCUUCCCAUGAAUGCAGCCUACAAAAAGUUGUCUCAGAUUCUGCAUCGGGACUGGAAGAAGAGGCAGGGUCGGAAUUCUUAGCUGAAGGCCAAGGCCAGCCAACCCAGAGAUGAUUCUAGGCUUCAUCAAGGUGGACUUUGCUCUUAUUCUAAGUAAAGAAUAAGCCAAUUCUUCUGCUCUCCAAGAAGAGGUUUAAUGUUUACUCUGAAAUCUGCUUGAACAUGGAGCCGUGUCUUUCCUACUGUAAAGAAGAUAAAUAAUGGAUGCAAGUCAAGGAUUCCUGAUGGUUGGCCAUUCAGCUUCUGAUUAAAUUCCUUCAGUGAAGGAGAACCUCCCACCCUGUGUGGAAACCUCUUCUAUGGUCCAGGCCUGGUGCAUCCAUUCUCAGCUUCUACAGAGUUGCUUCCUGCACUGCUGGGUUGUUCUGAACAACUGGAUGCAUACUAAGCCCCAGAGAAAAGGGGAAGCUGGGCCUCGCAGCAGAAAGAUCAUGCCAUCACUGUCAGGUGGACACGCUUCAUCGUGGGGUUCUACAGGUGGGAAGGGAUCCUACCCCUGGGAGCCUGUUGCCAAACAUCCAGAUGUGGAGUCUUGCUGAUGAUCGAUUACGUUGGACAUAUCAUGAGAAGGGGAGGCCUCCUGGAGGAGACAAUCAUGCUAAGGAAGGUUAAAGGCAGAAGAGGAAGAGGAAAACUAAGCAAGAGACGGAUGGACCCUGUAAAGGAAGUGCCUGUCCUUCAUUUAGGGUGGAACCUGGUGGAUCGGGGCGUCUGCAGCAAGGGUGGGUGCCACCCUCUCAGAUUGCAUGUGGAGGAGCUGGAGCAGGACUGGAGAAUGUGUGGCCCUCCCGAUGUGGUUGGGAUGCCAUUUCCAGCAUCCCCAGCCAGCAUAGCCAGUGGACUGCAGCAUGCAAGGGCAUGCAGAAUGGGGGCAUCCAUCACUUGCUCAUUGCAGGCUGGUUCCUCUGAGGUCCCUCGGAUUCUGAAGAGGAGGAGCGGUGGCCGGAUGUUGACACUUCAAGGUUGCCCAGUGAAGUUCCUGAAGCAGAGCUUGAGAACUGGUCUACUUUGGAUUUGGAAAGGAGAAAGGGUGCGAAGUUUGAACCCCGUCCUUGGCCUGGCAACCCACCAGCCAGCACUGCUUCAGGCUAAAGAGGAGAUCUUGCAGUCAAAAGAGUCAAAGCAUCCAGCCAGACUUUACUGAGUGCUGCUCCCUACAUUACAGCAGCAGAAAAGAAGGUUGCCAGGACACUGUUGGGCAAGGCGAUGGCCUGCCCAGUUUAAGCCAAAUGGGCCACCACCCCAUACUCAAGGUGGGCCACUCCACUGGGUGGCCUCUUCGGCUGCACUGUGCUUCCUUUUCUGUUUUAACCUCAGAUCUCCGAUUCCUGCUUCUCCUCUUCCUUUUCACUCGAAGACGGACAACUUCAGUGGGCAUCAGCUGCCUGGCCUCCUCCCCAUCAGAGUUGUUUUCCUCCAUUUCCUCCUCUUUCACCCUAAACAUCUCAGCAGGACCUUCUCAACCCACUUCCAGGCAGAGUGAGUUCCCAGGUCUUCUUGGGGUUCAUCUGCACAGAUGUUGGCUCUGUAUUACUGACAGAUGGUGGCCACCCAGCUUCUACUCAAAUACCUCCAGUGAAGGGGAGCCCUCCACCUCUCAAGGGCCAAGGGUUGCAUCCCAUGACGCUAGAUGGUAUAAAUUUGGAGCAAAUAAAAGGAGUUACCCCACACAGUGCAUAGUGCAUAAUGGAAUCUGCUAUGACAACAUGCACUCUUGGCCACCCAUCUGGAUAUUUUUAAAGGCAACAACGUGAUCAGAACGCUGGACUCGGUUGGACUCUCAGUCCAUCCCACUGUGACUCAUGUACUUGAGACUUUCUGAUGAACCGAGGCAAGGGAGAAGAUGUAACUGCCAUCCCCCCAAAUGGGGAACAUUUGGGAAGCACCCUCACAUCUGAGGGGCCAAGAAAAAGGAAAGACAAUGGCUUGGCUCUGCUUUUCAGUACCUGUUCAUUACGUCCAAGGCAAGAGGGAUCCAACCGCAGAGAGAAAGAUGCUCUGGACAUUUCCAUUCAAGAUUUUCUUGUGCCUGUUACAUCUGCUAUGGCCCAGGCCCAAAGCUUUGACAUUCACAAAGCAGGUUAAGUUCCUGUCCCAUCUUUAUCUGAGCCAGCUUGAUAGUCUGGAAGAUUCUCUGCUGGAUGUUGCAGGAAUCUCGCAAGUCCUGCAUCCUCAACAGAUGACUACUGAAAUACCCCCAGUAAAGGGAAGACCACCCUGUGCCAAAGUUGCUUGCCUCACUUUCAAAUAACUCUAACCAUCUUGGAUCUGGGCAGCUCUGGAGCUUCAUCUAGUGGCCCGAAAUGAAUUGCUAAAAGGGAAGGCCACUGAGUGACUGCUGAUGCCUCCAAAUGUACGUUUUUCUGAAUCAUCAUAUUAAUGCAUACAGAAAUGCGUGUACAGGGGUAAGUAGCUACAAAAAUCAGCCAGGCUGGCCAACGGGCUGUAGGCUACCUGUUCGCAUCUCCAAAGAAUGCAAUUCCCUGUCUGGUCCAGGGGUAGAAAAAUGCGACUAGUGUCCCUCUUUUCCUCCCUCACCAAACCCCACAAGUCAUUGAAAAUUGUGAAGUGGGUGGCAGAUUCUUGUUGCAAUGUGCCAUCAAGUGAUCUCUGACUUAGGAUGGCCCCGUGAAUUCAUGCCCCCCAGCGUGUCCCGUCC